GGAAGAUAACACUCCAGAGAUUCAGAUGUGAAUGAAUUAAUUUUAAAUACCAAGCAAGAACCAAGCAAAGGCCAGAAAAUGCAAAUUCUAAGAGACCCAAUAAGGAGAAAGAAGUGUCUUUCCUGUCCCAAAUAAAAUUGGCUGUAAAUGGGGAGAGAGGUCAGUAAAAUGAGGACCGAGGAUAGGCCUGCGGUGGUACAGUGGUUAGAAUGCAGUAC